rnacentral:tRNA from 1 species
GCGGGUAUAGCUCAGUGGUAGAGCACGUGCUUAGCAUGAAAUCCUGGGUUCAAUCCCUAGGACCUCCA